ACCACCACAUUAAUAUUAAAGAUAUGGUUAACAUUCUUAGUGCUAAAGAUAUUCCCCUCUCCUUGUAUCCCUUCUCCCAGCUCCACCGUCUCGCCGAGUGCCAGCAAGAGUCAUGAGUACUUGUCAACUCGACUCCUCAACUGGAGAUAACUUUCUAGCACCUCACCAUGGGGAAGGAUGUAUUCAUAUGCCUUCACCAGCACCUGCAUUAAACAUGCAGAGAGUUACACAAGUUCUUACCACCUUGGGGCA